GUGUUUGCCUGGAAUAUGACAAAUGGAGUUUCAUUUCCCAGCUCAGGCAUCCCACAGACCCUGGGCUCUCAGCCUUGGCACUUUUCAUACCAAAGCAUAAUGGUCUGUUUGCUCAUCUUACCACUAGACUGUGAGCCCCUGGAGCACAGGGGAUGUCUCUUACCAUCUUGAUUUCCCCAGUGCAUGUCAUUUAAAUUUUUUUUUUUUUUUUACUUAUUUAAAUGACUGAGUGAGUCCAUGUCAAGCAUGAAGGAAUAUUUAUUUCUGCAAUGUUCUUGCUAAAGCCUUGUAGGUAUCUUCAUAAAUCCUUCAUCCAUAAUGCAAUGCUCAUUGCAUUAUGAAGUCCUAUCCCUAGAGUGUAUCUCUACCCAGAUUAUUCUAUUAGGUAAAACAAUAUUUAUAAGUGAUGAGUAAAUAAUAUUUAUAUACUGCAGAGAUUGUUAUUAGAAACCUGCCACAGGAGGUUUCUCGUGUAGUGAAACAGGAGUCUCGAGUGUAGCAACUGUAACUCUACUAGAAGAUUCUACAAGUCCAUGCUGGGCCUGCUCACCAUGACAGCUUCCCUCUCUCCCUCUCCUUCAUGCAGGCUCUCUGCUUCCCAUCUCUCCCCUCUCCCAGCCUGGAAGCCAGGCCUGCAGCAGCAGCCAAUGUCCUGGGAGGAGCUGUACCUUGAGAAGUUCUGCUUCCACUGGGGGCUUCUCAACCCUGGACUGAACCCUCAAAGAACAGACACCCACGCUGUCUGCUGUCUCUUCCUCGAAGGAUGAAUGCAAGAUCUCCAGAUGAAGUGGACAUCAGUGUAUACAAGCCCAGAGGCCGUUUGGAAGAUGGACAAUGGAAAAAUACAAGUCACUGUGUGUCUGAAGCUUGGGGACCGUGUUGGUGGAGCGGGAAGAGACGGGAAGCAGUUUGAUGGAGUUUAUUGGAUGAAGCAGCUGCCAUCGGAGCAGUCACGCCACCUGAGUGACGCUAAUGAGACAGCUCCCCGCAUUGGACACAAAGUCUGAUAGCAGGAGAGAGAACCCUGGCUUGUGUCCAAAUUAACUUGUGGGCUUGCUCAUUGAUAAACUUCUUGAAAAGCAAAGACACCAUUUGCAAAGAAAAGGAAGAAGAUCGGGUUUUGUCCAAGGAAUUCAAUGCUUGGUUCUCAAUUGUGAUUCAUGACACCUAUGUUUUAUUUUCUUGGCUGUGGCUAGGACUCAACUGAUGACUUGAACGUGUUACAUCAAGCCUUAAUUUACCUGGCUAUAAAAUGGGUAUAGUCAGAAGUGAGCCCCACUUACCUGUUUGUGAUGCUGCAUAAAUGACUAGGCAAUGCCUAUAAAAUGUUCUCAGCCUUUGCUCAAAGGUCCCCAUAUAUGUGUCAUUGCUUUGUUGAUGGUGAUUUUGGAGUUGGUGUGGACUUUGUGGGUGGUGAGGCAGAGUCCCCCAGAGGGACUGACUCAUUUUGUCUAAGCUGCCAAAAACUGAUGCAAUCAGCAAUUUCUGGAUUUACCUGGCUAGCCAAAUAUUGAGAUCAACUGACCAUGAAAAAGUAUCAGAGGGUUUGGACUUGGAAGAGACUAGAAGUCUUACCUCGAAGACUUGCAAAUUAGAGACGGAAGGAGAGAGAAGAGAGGAAGGGAAUAGCAAAGAUUGUUUUUUAAAUUUGGUAGCUAAGUUACAUCAAGCACUGUGUUAAGUACUAAUUAAUUAUCUGUGUAUAUGUUAUCUCAUUUAUGUUUCCAUCUGGAGCACAGUGGCAGCAAUAAAUGUCAGUCGCAUAAACA
ensembl:lncRNA